rnacentral:tRNA from 1 species
GAGGGUGUAGCUCUGUGGUGGAGCACAUCCCUAGUGUGCAUGAGGUCCUGGGUUCAAUCCCCAGUACCGCCU